rnacentral:rRNA from 1 species
AGCAGCCGCGGUAAUUCCAGCUCCAAUAGCGUAUAUUAAAGUUGUUGUGGUUAAAAAGCUCGUAGUUGAACCUUGGGCCUGGCCGUCCGGUCCGCCUCACCGCGUGUACUGGCUCGGCCGGGCCUUUCCCUCUGUGGAACCCCCAUGCCCUUCACUGGGCGUGGCGGGGAAACAGGACUUUUACUGUGAAAAAUUAGAGUGCUACCAGGCAGGCCUAUGCUCGAAUACAUUAGCAUGGAAUAAUAGAAUAGGACGUGUGGUUCUAUUUUGUGGUUUCUAGGACCGCCGUAAUGAUUAAUAGGGACAGUCGGGGGCAGUCAGUAUUCAAUUGUCAGAGGUGAAAUUCUUGGAUUUAUUGAAGACUAACUACUGCGAAAGCAUUUGCCAAGGAUGUUUUCAUUAAUCAGGAACGAAAGUUAGGGGAUCGAAGACGAUCAGAUACCGUCGUAG